UUGCUCCUACGGGGCGCAGCAGUGAGGAAUAUUGGUCAAUGGGAGAGAUCCUGAACCAGCCAAGCCGCGUGAGGGAAGACGGCCCUAUGGGUUGUAAACCUCUUUUGUCGGAGAACAAAACCCGGGACGAGUCCCGGACUGCGUGUAUCCGAAGAAAAAGCAUCGGCUAACUCCGUGCCAGCAGCCGCGGUAAUACGUAGGUGACAAGCGUUGUCCGGAUUUAUUGGGCGUAAAGCGAGUGCAGGCGGUUCAAUAAGGCUGAUGUGAAAGCCCUCGGCUCAACCGGAGGAUUUCA
rnacentral:rRNA from 1 species